CUUGUGUGUUUAAGGAGAGCCUGAGAACGAGGACUCGCCCCGGAGGGAGCAAGGCCGGCGGAUAGCAGGACAACCGGGUCCGAGGCCCUUUUUGGACUCACACCGGAUACAGUGCUUGGUAUAUGAGACCCAACAGAGUCUUGUCUUCAAGGAACUCACCACAUCGUGAGGGGAGAGACAGACCUGUAAAGAAUCCUGCAGUGGAGUGCAUCAUGUGCCCAGAUGAAGACCAAAGCCCAGAAAAGGGUAUGUCCAGUCCAGGAUCCCUCAUCAAGACCUCAUCAAGGAAGGACUUUGACUUCUGUCUGGAACCUGAAGAUUCCCCAUGUGAUCAAAACCAUGGGAAGGACGCUCCCAGGC